UCCAGCACCAUUUAAGAAAGAAUCGCACCUUUUAACAAUAUAAUAAAAUAAUCUACUAAUAUAUUUUUCAGCAUUUCUAUCUCUCCCCCAAAAUUGAGCUUCUCCCCCCCAAAAUUUUCAACCAAAAUACAUCGAUCUCUUCCUUACCGCCACUUUUACUCUGUUCUUCAUUACUCAAUACACAUCUUUCUCCUCUCCCCAAGAACCCUAACCAACCGACAGAAACCUCUACCCCAAUCGAAAACCCUAAUUACUAACCGGCGGCUACAAACCCUAAUCGGAGUGUAAGAGGAGGAUGUUGUUCUACCUUUUCAGUUGAGCUUGAACCGCCGGUCCACCUCCUCGGCGCCGCCGCACCACCAGGUAUCGGGCUCUAGAGUUACUUCAGUCGCCAAUAUAUGGCUCUGCAGUUGAUUUAUGGGCAAUGGGCGCCAUCAUGGCUGAACUAUUUACUCUCCGUCCCCUUUUCCCAGGUUCAAGGUUUCUGGUAUUAAGAGCAUGGAUGCUUUUUUUCAAAGUUUUGAGAUACCCGGAAAUGGAUGAGUUCUUCCCAAAGCUUAUGUCUGAAAAAAUUUCAAGCGACUGCAACUAAAGUAUCAGUUCAUAUGAUACUGAGGUUUGAUGGGAUGCGUUCAUGGCUUCUUACUUAUAAGAGGCUUGAUGAUGGUAUAGCAAUUACGGAUGGUUGGAAAAGAGUAGUCGAUGACCUUGGUUUUAAACUUGGUUGUUUAUUGGUGUUUACACCGUUUGAGUCUUAUGUUGAUUUCAUGUUAACUGCGUUUAAUGUUGACUUUCGUGUUGUCUGUCAAUCUUGAAAGGGACUUUCUAAUUUAUGUCUUAUGGAUCUUGCUGGUGAUAAAGAAAGCUCUUUCGGAUUGAUACGUCAUGUUAGUGUCAUCAUGUAGCUGUGUGGAUGGCUCCUCAAUUGUGUUGUUAUGCUCUCGGUGUUCUUGAUAAAGAGACGUAGAGGUUGAAGACCAUUAAGAUUGAGGCCAAUACGUUGUGGCUUCUCUGUUUGGUUGCUUUUAGUUAUUGCCUCGGUUAGAGCUGCCUUGCUGAGUUAACUUGGUUGUUUAAUGGUGUGUUUUUCAUGGACCAUAUUUGCACUAAGCGCAGCUGCAAGCUUUCGUGUACUACUGUCACUGUUGUCCCAUUCUUCGAUUUGUUGCUGCUCAUCUGUUGAGGUGCAACAGUACAAACAUGAAAGGGAGUGUGAUUAAGUUAUUUGGAAACUGCAGGAAGAUAAAGUUGCCAGCCUUGAGGACCUGAUGGAUGGUGUGUUGUCAGCAGUUGACUUUGUAAAUGAAGAAUUGAGAUCUUUAGGGCAAGAUAAAGUAGCCACCCUUGAGGACCUGAUAGAUGUUAAAGUAUGUAUAUAAAGUUCAUGGUUACAAGGCAUAUAAUUCUACUCUUAGAAGGGAAUAGAGUUAAGGAAGCAAGCCUUGAUGACAACCAAGGUACGAGUGUAUGUUCUUGGGUCAAGCUGACCAAAAGUUGCUAAACUCAACCGGGACAUGUAUAGUACGGAUCGACUCUUCGGGUAUCUAUUUGCCUACAAGUUUUUUUCGAGUUCUAUCUGAGUGCGGCUCUAUGUUUUCAAAUUUUAGACGCGAGCAUAGUACAAGUCCCCUUCAUUUUUCUCAAGAAGCUAAAGUUGAUGAAAAACAUGGCUACAAGCUCCCUUAUAACAGUUGUCUCAUGGGGAUUGGUGUCAUAAGGAGACUUUAAAAGCCAAGGGAAGUCAUCUUUUUAAAAAUACACAUCCUUAGUGAUGUUUUAUUUGUUUAUCUUCCAUGGAAAUUAUGUUUCAUGGAAAUCCAACAUGUCUGUAUAUCUUCCAUGGAAAU
rnacentral:lncRNA from 1 species